GAUGAACGCUGGCGGCGUGCCUAAUACAUGCAAGUCGAGCGAACAGACGAGGAGCUUGCUCCUCUGACGUUAGCGGCGGACGGGUGAGUAACACGUGGAUAACCUACCUAUAAGACUGGGAUAAUUUCGGGAAACCGGAGCUAAUACCGGAUAAUAUAUUGAACCGCAUGGUUCAAUAGUGAAAGACGGUUUUGCUGUCACUUAUAGAUGGAUCCGCGCCGCAUUAGCUAGUUGGUAAGGUAACGGCUUACCAAGGCAACGAUGCGUAGCCGACCUGAGAGAGUGAUCGGCCACACUGGAACUGAGACACGGUCCAGACUCCUACGGGAGGCAGCAGUAGGGAAUCUUCCGCAAUGGGCGGAAGCCUGACGGAGCAACGCCGCGUGAGUGAUGAAGGUCUUCGGAUCGUAAAACUCUGUUAUUAGGGAAGAACAAAUGUGUAAGUAACUAUGCACGUCUUGACGGUACCUAAUCAGAAAGCCACGGCUAACUACGUG
rnacentral:rRNA from 1 species